GACGAACGCUGGCGGCGUGCCUAAUACAUGCAAGUAGAACGCUGAAGAGAGGAGCUUGCUCUUCUUGGAAGAGUUGCGAACGGGUGAGUAACGCGUAGGUAACCUGCCUUGUAGCGGGGGAUAACUAUUGGAAACGAUAGCUAAUACCGCAUAACAAUGGAUGACACAUGUCAUUUAUUUGAAAGGGGCAACUGCUCCACUACAAGAUGGACCUGCGUUGUAUUAGCUAGUAGGUGAGGUAACGGCUCACCUAGGCGACGAUACAUAGCCGACCUGGGAGGGUGAUCGGCCACCCUGGGACUGAGACACGGCCCAGACUCCUACGGGAGGCAGCAGUAGGGAAUCUUCGGCAAUGGGGGCAACCCUGACCGAGCAACGCCGCGUGAGUGAAGAAGGUUUUCGGAUCGUAAAGCUCUGUUGUAAGUCAAGAACGAGUGUGAGAGUGGAAAGUUCACACUGUGACGGUAGCUUACCAGAAAGGGACGGCUAACUACGUGCCAGCAGCCGCAGUAA
rnacentral:rRNA from 1 species